rnacentral:snoRNA from 1 species
AAGAUUUAGAGCACAAUAAAACUGUAGGUUCCAUGUCGUUGCUUCCCCAUCAAGUAUUUCUUAAGUAAGCAUGUUUGCUUUACUCCUGUGGCAUCCAGGGAUGCUUGGCCUCUUACAG